CAGCAUUCAUCGGUGAGUUUGACCAAAGCAACACUCAACUGCAGGGAAAACGACAUAAAAAGGUGAGUUUAACAACGCUCCAAGGCGCGUGCAAGUAAGCAGUUUAACCGUUUUCUUACACACCAUUCUCGCUUAUCGCUUAUUCAUAGUUCAUCAUCUCUAUGAAAUCACGUUCAAGAAGUCUCAUUCAGCACACAUCGCGAUACUUGCCAUCAGUUUCCAUGUGCCACAGGGUCGAUGUAAAGGAAGCAGUCAUCCCUGUGGUGUUUGUGGAGAGGUUUUCCUUCAGAAAUGGAGAAGACAGAAAGCUGCGGAGGCAGACAUUUGCAGCAGCCAAGUGUUCGAGUGAGCAUGAUGACCACAAGUGUGUGUCGAACUUUUCAUGACCUGAUGACAGUGGUUCCCAAUCCUGAUCCUGGAGAACCCCAGCACUGCACGGUUUUGGCGUCUCUCUUAUCUGUCUUGGAGUCUUCACUGAUGAGCUGAUGAGUUGAAUCAGGAUUGUUUGCAGAUAAUGCUGUUCAAGCUCAACAGCUCUUUUAAGAGCUAACCCUCACAAACCUUCCUAAAAACUAAAAGAGCUAUUACUGAGUCUCAGCGAAUUUUGCCAUGAUCAGCUCUUCCCAGAAGAGAAGGAAGACCAAGGAAAUGAUUUGCUCAUGAGGAAUGAAGACGGCCAUCUUGAGCCCAAACAAAGACAGAAGUCCUCUGAUGAUCUCAUCAGCCAAAUGGGGGGUUUUGACCAAGUGAUGCUCUUGAAAGGACUGAAAGAAGAGGAUGUGGUAAAUUGUCUUCAGAGAAAAACCUUCUCAAAAGGUCUUAAAACAGCUUGAAGAAUGGU